CAGUGAAGCUCAAGAGAUGAGGAUCCAGUGGGCUAAUGUGAAGUCAAUGACCUAAAAAGCAGACAAAAAAGAUGGGGAAAAGAAUGUGAAGAAGAAAAAUGAAAGGUGAAGAGUGGAGAAGGCAUGCGAGGAUGACAAAGGAAGGCGAAGGAAGUCAGAAUUAGGAAGGUCUGCAGGUGGAAUAAGCAAUAGAUCUUACUGGUAUGAGGUAUCACCAGUUCCCCUCAAUCAGCAGUUCAUAAACUCCAACUCUUUUUGUUUUGCAACAUGGCAUUUUCUCAGGAUACAGUGUGUUCAUAGUUCAAAACUCACAAGUCUCAAAGGGACUGUAGUCAGGUGCUAUACAGAGAUGUGAAAACAGCAAAGUCAUGGGGCAUGAAGACAAAGUGGAAGGAAGAGAUUUUACUGAUUACGGGCAAACAGCGUAAUAGUCAGCUGCAGAUGUAGCUAGACUCCAUUACAGUGAGAUUUCUGGAGUGUGAUUCUGCUGCUCUGGAAGACUGCUGCUGCCUAAGACUCGAUCUGGAGGCCCUGAAAGGCUGUCU